rnacentral:rRNA from 1 species
UACGUAGGGUGCAAGCGUUGUCCGGAAUUAUUGGGCGUAAAGAGCUCGUAGGCGGUUUGUCGCGUCUGCCGUGAAAGUCCGGGGCUCAACUCCGGAUCUGCGGUCGAUACGGGCAGGCUAGAGUUCGGUAGGGGAGACUGGAAUUCCUGGUGUAGCGGUGAAAUGCGCAGAUAUCAGGAGGAACACCAAUGGCGAAGGCAGCUCGCUGGGACGUGACUGACGCUGAGACGCGAAAGCGUGGGGGAGCAAACAGG